rnacentral:lncRNA from 1 species
AUUUAUUGUGAUUAAAAAAUUGCAAAGUACUCAGGAUUUGUUUUAAAAUGUUUCUCUAUGGCUCCCAUUUUGUUUUAUGAAUAAUGUUUAUGAAUUUCAUAUUGACAUAUCUACUCACUAGUUGAGAGCUACAUUUAAAUGAGUUUCAAGAUCACUUUCAAAGGGAUUUAAAAAUUAACAUUAAACUUUUAAAGCUAACAUUAAACUCUUUGCUGUGCUAUCUUAGACCAGCUAAGCUUUACUUUAAUUCAUAAACCAUUCAGAAGACUACUAUCAAUGAAUAUUUAACAAAUGUGAUGAAGGGGUUUAAUUUAAUAAGGUUUCAUUGCUCAAUAAAUUUGAAAGUUAGGUUAUUAACAUUUUGAUAAAUGGUGCUAGGGUCAGCUCAGAGGUUUAUAUAUUAAUAUGUCCUAGUUUAUUGGCAUUUGUUUGUUAUUUUGAUUUAAUGAUCUGUUAGUGGUUUUUUCCUUGAUAUUAUUUCUUCAUUGUACAUUGAGACAGCACUACUGCACACCAAAGUAUGCAAUACCCAAAGGAAAACUGUGUGAUUUCUUUUAACAAAUGAUGGGAGCCUUUCUAUAUGAGAUACUCUGAAAAGAUUUUGAGGCCAUUCUAAUCCCUUGUUUACACUAUUAGCUUCCUACUAACAUAAAAAUAAUGGAAAUCUUUUUUGAUAAAAAUAUAAAGACUGGAGGAUUUUUAACCCCUUGUACAGUAUUGCAGCAAACUCUUUAAAUUUGGUUGAAUUCGUCCAACAAACUUUCUGGGGUUCAUAAUAUUGCACUAAAUUUGUUGAACCUGUGGUAGGCACAUCUCUUAGGAUAAAUGCAACCAAUACAGUCCACAGAUUAAACUUUUUAAAUGUGUUUCAUUAUGAAAAGACAAAAUGUCAUCAAAGUGACAGAUACAAUUGUCUUAUGUAGCAAUGUGCAUUGAUCUCAAUGAGAUAUUUCUAUUUCUUAUUCUCUUACAUGAGAAUAUUACAGCAGGAAGAAUUUAGUUUGCUUCACCAUGUUAAUACAUGAUCACAAAUGUGCAUGAGUGUUACUGACUUAUCUUGUACAGUACUAGGUAUUCCUGUAACCACUUUUUUUUUCUUGGCUGUAUUGAAACUGGUUGUGUUAACCAGACAAGCAUAGUUAUUCACAAGUUAUUUACUUUUUUAUGUUUACUAAUUCUGCUUAGUUGUUGUCGAGUAUGUUCUUUUCUCAGAUUAUUUUCAUUGUUCCGAUGUUAAAACAUUUUGCAUACUGUUUAUCAUGAUGACUUCAUGAAGAAAAUAAUUUUGCAUAUAAUUGCAAUAAGCACUGACUUUUGAACUGAAAAGAAGGAAAAUGUUUUUUGUGCAGUGCAUCUGAGGUUCAAAUAAUAGUCUUGUUCUGCAGUGUGCUUUACUACACCAUAAAUGACAAAAACAAGCCCUGUUUCAUGUUUUCAUUUAGUGCAAAAAGUCAGAUUUCCCCAGUGUUUUGUUGUCUGUUGUACCUGCUGAAACUACAGUAGUUGAAUAUUGCAGUAGCAUUUCAGUUCUCUUUUUUAUUAAAAGUGCUCAAAAUUGUUUUUUAAAUGUUUUCAAAAACAAUUAAAAACAUUUUAUAUUAAACUGGCUGGAUUUUAA